GCAGCCAGCGCUGGCUCCCUGAGCCUCACAGAUGAUGUCGCUGCCUGUUCUUCCACACUGGCUUCACUCCAAAGAAUGAGAAGAAGGAGAAAAGCCUGAACCACAGACAUGGAUGAUAAUAAGGAAGUGACACAUGUCACAUCUGGGAUUCUGCCGGUGCAGACGGACGGGGAGCAGGUUGGUCAGUCACCUCACGGCGCCAGAGGACACGACGCGACGCCCGCUGACUGAUAAAUCACAGGACAAAUCAAAAUGGGGCGACAGGGCUCGGCUGGUGUCACAUCAUGAUAAGAGACAGGAGCUCUGUGAAAGAUCCCACACCAGGAAACAUCUUCAGCAGGAAAAAAACCUCCGAGGAGAGGAGACGUUUUAUGUGAGUAUAAUGACAAAAUUUCCCACAACCAUGGCUGAAAAGUAAAACGAGCAAUGGUGAGGACAUUGCCACUUAUCAGCCGGUGCAAUUUCACAGCAAGAGGUGAUUUUCUCUGCAAACAUAUUCAGAAUAAACUCUUCAAUCAGACCAGCUCCAUCUUCAGAUUCUUUUUCUCCUCUCCUUCUGUUCACUGAAACCUUUUUAACCCAUCAAACCUCCACUGCACUGUGUUCACUUCCUGAGCCAAUCCGCUGAGUCUAUCCUAGCGGACACUGAGCACAAGGCAGGGUACACCCUGGACCAGUCAGUGACCCUGAAAUUGUUCACCCUUGGCCAUCAUUAAGGAUCUCCAAUUCAUUCCAUAUACCUCGAGGAAACGACGAGAGGAGACUUUUUCUUCUUCUUUAGAUUCUGUGACAUAUAAUGCUGCAUUUCCAUAUGAGCCAGUAUUCAGACAGGUUAUUCUCACAGCUCUUACUUAAUUGGUGAAUAUAACUCUGUAUAAUAAUAACAUGUUGUGGCAUCACACAAAGUUGCAGUUUGUCGAUAUACACACAUUCUUAUGCAGCUGUGAGGUGUAUGAUUGUGCAGAUAACAAUAAUGCAAGUAAAUGUAAGCAGCAGCUAAGUU